UACGAAGGGGGCUAGCGUUGCCCGGAAUCACUGGGCGUAAAGCGCACGUAGGCGGCUCUUUAAGUCAGGGGUGAAAUCCUGGAGCUCAACUCCAGAACUGCCCUUGAUACUGAGGAGCUUGAGUCCGGGAGAGGUGAGUGGAACUGCGAGUGUAGAGGUGAAAUUCGUAGAUAUUCGCAAGAACACCAGUGGCGAAGGCGGUUCUCUGGGCCUGUACUGACGCUGAGGAGCGAAAGCGUGGGGAGCGAACAGG
rnacentral:rRNA from 1 species